rnacentral:misc_RNA from 1 species
UUAAGUUCAGCGGGUAGUCCUACCUGAUUUGAGGUCAAAUUGGUCAAAAGUCUCAUACAAGACAGUUGGAAGCAGACGUGCGCAACUGCGACAGUGUAUAGAUACAUAUCAUACAAAGCACAGAAGGCAUUGAUAGCCCUGCUAAUACAUUUCAGAGGAGCUGAAACAAGCCAGCAAGCCUCCACAGUCAAUCACCACAU